UAAUUAAGAAAAGCAGUUUUUGCAGUGCACUUUCGUAAAUCAUAAUCAAUCAAGUCAUAUUUUGACUUUGAAUCUCAAUUAUGACUUUUUGAUCUCAUACUGAAGAUCUAUUGUCAUAAUUUCUAUUUUUUAUGACCAUUUUUCCAUCUUCUGAUUCCGCCGUUAGCUCAGGUCUCUGUGUGCUGCAGUGUGUGUGUGUUCAGGUGUGUGUGUGUGUGUGAGUGUGUGUGUGUGUGUUCAGCUGCUGAUCUUGGUGAACAUCUUGUUGAUGGCCUGCUUGACGUGUGUGUGUGUGUGUGUGUGUGUGUGUGUGAGUGUGUGUGUGUGUGUUCAGCUGCUGAUCUUGGUGAGCAUCUUGUUGAUGGCCUGCUUGACGUGUGUGUGUGUGUGUGUGAGUGUGUUCAGGUGUGUGUGUGUGUGUGUGUGUGUGUGUGUGAGUGUGUUCAGGUGUGUGUGUGUGUGUGUGUGUGUGUGUGUGUGUGUGUGUGUGUUCAGCUGCUGAUCUUGGUGAGCAUCUUGUUGAUGGCCUGCUUGACGUGUGUGAGUGUGUUCAGGUGUGUGUGAGUGUGUGUGAGUGUGUUCAGGUGUGUGUGUGUGUGUGUGUGUGUGUGUGUGUUCAGCUGCUGAUCUUGGUGAGCAUCUUGUUGAUGGCCUGCUUGACGUGUGUGAGUGUGUUCAGGUGUGUGUGUGUGAGUGUGUUCAGGUGUGUGUGUGUGUGUGUGUGUGUGUUCAGCUGCUGAUCUUGGUGAGCAUCUUGUUGAUGGCCUGCUUGACGUGUGUGGUGGAGCUGCGUCUGCGGG